GAUGAACGCUAGCGAUAGGCUUAACACAUGCAAGUCGAGGGGCAGCAUGGUCUUAGCUUGCUAAGACUGAUGGCGACCGGCGCACGGGUGCAUAACGCGUAUGCAACUUGCCUCACAGAGGGGGAUAACCCGUCGAAAGACGGACUAAUACCGCGUACACUCCACCUUGGGCAUCCAAGGUAGAGGAAAUGAAAUUCGCUGUGAGAUAGGCAUGCGUCCCAUUAGCUAGUUGGUGAGGUAACGGCUCACCAAGGCGACGAUGGGUAGGGGAACUGAGAGGUUGAACCCCCACACUGGUACUGAGACACGGACCAGACUACUACGGGAGGCAGCAGUGAGGAAUAUUGGUCAAUGGGCGAGAGCCUGAACCAGCCAAGUCGCGUGAAGGAUGACUGUCUUAUGGAUGGUAAACUUCUUUUAUACGGGAAUAACAAGGGUCACGUGUGACUCCCUGCAUGUACCGUAUGAAUAAGCAUCGGCUAACUCCGUG
rnacentral:rRNA from 1 species